UACGAAGGGGGCUAGCGUUGUUCGGAAUUACUGGGCGUAAAGCGCACGUAGGCGGAUCGAUCAGUCAGGGGUGAAAUCCCAGGGCUCAACCCUGGAACUGCCUUUGAUACUGUCGAUCUGGAGUAUGGAAGAGGUGAGUGGAAUUCCUGGUGUAGCGGUGAAAUGCGCAGAUAUCAGGAGGAACACCGAUGGCGAAGGCAGCUCACUGGGACGGUACUGACGCUGAGGCGCGAAAGCGUGGGGAGCAAACAGG
rnacentral:rRNA from 1 species